rnacentral:rRNA from 1 species
GAUGAACGCUGACAGAAUGCUUAACACAUGCAAGUCAACUUGAAUUUGGGUUUUUAACUUAGGUUUGGGUGGCGGACGGGUGAGCAACGCGUAAAGAACUUGCCUCACAGCUAGGGACAACAUUUGGAAACGAAUGCUAAUACCUAAUAUUAUGAUAAUAGGGCAUCCUAUAAUUAUGAAAGCUAUAAGCGCUGUGAGAGAGCUUUGCGUCCCAUUAGCUAGUUGGAGAGGUAACGGCUCACCAAGGCGAUGAUGGGUAGCCGGCCUGAGAGGGUGAUCGGCCACAAGGGGACUGAGACACGGCCCUUACUCCUACGGGAGGCAGCAGUGGGGAAUAUUGGACAAUGGACCGAGAGUCUGAUCCAGCAAUUCUGUGUGCACGAUGAAGUUUUUCGGAAUGUAAAGUGCUUUCAGUUGGGAAGAAACAAAUGACGGUACCAACAGAAGAAGUGACGGCUAAAUACGUG